GAGCAUCCUAACCAAAUAACUUAUAGCUAUUACUAAUAUACAACAAAAAAACAUAACAAAGAAGUGAGUAUUCUCUCUAGUCCUCCCUUUAGCUAUUCGUCUCCACUUCUUCUCUUUCUCGAUCUUCCUAAUCUUUUUCCAACUUCUCCAAUUUCAUAUUAAUCCCAUUAUCAUUUUGUUUGGAUUCUUUAGGCCUGUCAACUUCUUCUGAACCUUCCUCAAAUAAUUUGUUCAACCCAAUCAAUUUCUCAAUUUCAUUGAAAUGACAAGAUUCAACUAAAUUCUCAAGCUCACCUAGUUUCUCUAUUAGUUUAGGAAUCACAUAUUUGGACCUCGAAUCAAUAUCUUCUAUAUCCCUCCAACACCAAAAGUCGCAAGAUCUUG
rnacentral:lncRNA from 1 species